ACCUCAAAUAUCCAUUCAACCAUCAUGGAUCUUAUAUUUUUGAAUUUCUAGUCUAUCUAGCUUCAUUUUCUGCUACCACAGAAGCUUUGAUGAAGAAUAUUGGUUGAGAUAUUGCAUUAUGAAGAUGGGUAAUGUUUUGAGAGCUCAUGCAAAUGUUUUUGUUAUGAGACCAUGCACCACCCACCGAUCCACCCACCUACCCACCUAUGCUAGUAUCUAUCCAUCAUCACUAGAUUACCAUAUCUAUAAAUGAUAGUUAGCGAUAAUAUGUGGCUAGCGAUGAUAGCUAGCAACGAUAUUAUCAAGUUGUUCUGAUUGGGAAAACAUAGCCCGGAAGAAUAAAUGUUCAAUAACAGCGCUUCAAAAAGGACC
rnacentral:sRNA from 1 species